rnacentral:rRNA from 1 species
UAGUGCCUUCGGGAACCGUGAGACAGGUGCUGCAUGGCUGUCGUCAGCUCGUGUUGUGAAAUGUUGGGUUAAGUCCCGCAACGAGCGCAACCCUUAUCCUUUGUUGCCAGCGGUCCGGCCGGGAACUCAAAGGAGACUGCCAGUGAUAAACUGGAGGAAGGUGGGGAUGACGUCAAGUCAUCAUGGCCCUUACGACCAGGGCUACACACGUGCUACAAUGGCGCAUACAAAGAGAAGCGACCUCGCGAGAGCAAGCGGACCUCAUAAAGUGCGUCGUAGUCCGGAUUGGAGUCUGCAACUCGACUCCAUGAAGUCGG